rnacentral:rRNA from 1 species
GAUGAACGCUGGCGGCGUGCUUAACACAUGCAAGUCGAACGAUGAAGCCCAGCUUGCUGGGUGGAUUAGUGGCGAACGGGUGAGUAACACGUGAGUAACCUGCCCUUAACUCUGGGAUAAGCCUGGGAAACUGGGUCUAAUACCGGAUAGGAGCGUCCACCGCAUGGUGGGUGUUGGAAAGAUUCAUCGGUUUUGGAUGGACUCGCGGCCUAUCAGCUUGUUUGUGAGGUAAUGGCUCACCAAGGCGACGACGGGUAGCCGGCCUGAGAGGGUGACCGGCCACACUGGGACUGAGACACGGCCCAGACUCCUACGGGAGGCAGCAGUGGGGAAUAUUGCACAAUGGGCGCAAGCCUGAUGCAGCGACGCCGCGUGAGGGAUGACGGCCUUCGGGUUGUAAACCUCUUUCAGUAGAGAAGAAGCGACAGUGACGGUACCUGCAGAAGAAGCACCGGCUAACUACGUG